rnacentral:rRNA from 2 species
GGACUACACGGGUUUCUAAUCCCGUUUGCUCCCCUGGCUUUCGUGCCUCAGCGUCAGAAGAGGCCCAGCGUGUCGCUUUCGCCACCGGCGUUCCUUCCGAUAUCUACGCAUUUCACCGCUCCACCGGAAGUUCCACACGCCCCUACCUCCCUCGAGACGACCGGUAUCGGGAGCCCUUCUCCCGUUGAGCGGGAGGAUUUCACUUCCGACCUUGUCGCCCGCCUACGCACCCUUUAAGCCCAGUGAAUCCGAACAACGUUUGCACGGUUCGUCUUACCGCGGCGGCUGGCAC